ensembl:lncRNA
GUGAAAGUCCUUCCUGGGACCGUUGCAACGGGCCAGCAGCUAACAGAGGGGGUCUGGUCCAAGCUUUGCUGGCAGACUGAACCCUCCCUGGUGCCCCACUGCACACACACAGUCUGCGAUGACUGGCUCUGGGGGCGAGUAGCAAACUGUUUCUCCUUUCGCUUCGCCUGGGGCUCGGAACAAGUGACCGGGAAAGCGGGAAGUUGGUGACAGUCAGAGUCAUGAACACCCGUCAGACUCCCUCCCCACAAUACCACACCGCUCCCACUCCCCAAAGGGCCCAAGCCUCCAGAGGGAGGACAUCCGAGACCCGACCCCCACCAGGAAGCUUCUCUUCGCUUGCCCCACCUGCUCAGGAGCAACGUGGCCCUGGCAGGAGGAAGCUUCUGAAAGAUUUUCUUAGUGGAGCACAUGGGGUGGCCCAACCGGGGAGACGGGGCACAGAAAGCAUGCGGGGAGGGGGGUGGGGGGGUUAAGAGAAGAGGCUGUAAAGCCCGGGAGGGAGACUUGGCUUGUCCCUCUCCCACCGCACUCCUCCAAGACCCAGAGGCCUGAGCUUUUCAUUCAUCCUUUAAGGAAGGCGCAAAGAUGGAGGGGGGUCCUACCGAGGGAGGGGCCAGAGGCCACCACGACGGAUGAGGACCAGGCUGGCCCAGCCCCUUCAUCUUACGGUGGGGGGCGGUGAGGAGGAAGCGGAGGAGGGGAAGGUUGGCGGAGCGGGGAGGUGGGGAGCAAGGACUUGGCAGAAGCGCGCUCGACCGGAGGAAAGUCCCGAAAGCGGGAGAGCUCUGGGCUCCCAGGCCAGGGGGAGGGUGGAGGGGCCUGGGAGGGUCGCGGGCUGCCUCGGCCGCUUACCUGUCGCGCCAAGGCAGAGCCGCAGCCGCGCCGCCGACCGGCUCGCCGGCUUCCCGACGGGACGUCCUGGAGGGCGGGGCCGGGGCGGGCCCUGCAAGGCUGCUGGGGCGCGCCCUCCCCGCCCCUCCCCUGCCCGGCCAGGUGCAGGCGGUCACCCGCCGCGUCCCCGAGCGCUGCAGCCGGCAGCGGAACGCCCUCUGCUCCUAGGGCCGCCUGGAGGCUGGCGGCCGGGUCGGGGGCGUCCCCCGCCCCGUGCGCCCCACCUGCCGGCCGCUGCUAGGAGCCCAGCUUCUCCAGAUCGCAGCCCACCCCGGGAUGCAGCCUCCGCGGCCAGGCUCUCAGCGCCGAAAAAGAUCGGAGGGUCCUAGCCCCCUCCAGGACGACAGGCAUUAGCCGAGCCGCCGGUGGCGCGGAGCUGCGUGUGCAUGGAACCGCAGCGUGCGCCGCGCGGGCUCGGCGGCGGCGCGGCCGGAGCGCUCAGAGCCCGGAGGCAGCGGCGCCGGAGGGGAAAAACGCGGCCGGGCAGCGAGGAGCCCCGGGGCUCCGUCCCAGGACUGAGCUAUUGAGGAGGCCAGAGGUUUAGCAGCGAUGGAGUCUGGAGAGAGGAGCCCAGGGGAGCAUGGAGAAGACCUUACCCAGCUACACUAGAUCAGGAGGAUGGACAUUCCCGACGGAGUAGAAAAGGGAGGCGUCCACUCACUCUAGACACGGUCACCCGUCUCCCCUAACUCCUAAUAGCUGAGUGAUUCCCCCACCCCCACCUCCCUUUCUUUCACACUAGAGACUCUUUGGGGCUCAAGUUCCUAAAGGGAGACUUUCUACAGAGGUUACCUUGAUCAUACGUUUUAGCCCCUUUACAGACCCUCAGGGCUCAUUCUAACUCACACUGCUCCAGCUGCCACCAUUCUUGUCACUUGUCUUGUUCGAUAGCUAUCUUUCUCAGGAUAAGGGCAUUUCCUAUUGAAGACUGGGGGAUGCUCCCCCUCAUUUCUCUCUUUCUGGGGGCUAGACACUCCUAUAUGAGUCUGACCCUAAGGUCUUUGCCCCACCCUUCCUCUAACUUUGCUCUGUGACCCUCAGGGAUUGUGUGAUCUUGACCUGGCCCUUGGAACUUAGUCAGGACCCAACAUGAUUUGAGGAUGAUGGGCUAGCCUGGACUCACAGCCUCCGUUCUUCCCCAGGACAGAGUCAUGUCCACUAACCCCAUCCUGGAGUUCCUGAGAAGGUGGUGCCCAGCUUCCCAAGGAAGCAGCAUCGUCUGUGUUGUGUGCUCCACGUUCUGGAAGCAAAUUACUCAUCCUAUUUUACUUGGGCUGAUUCUGGUUUUAAACAUGACUUUGAGUCCGCAGAAUAAUCAGCUGCCUAAUUUGGAGGCACAUGUAGUCCGCAGGAUGUGUGACCCACCCACCAUGUGUCAUGCACUGAGCUGUUCCCUUCUGGCGGGAAGGACAGGCUCCCUGCCUUCCGCUCCAGGAAGGCCUGGAGAUGAACCACUGCAAAAUGGUGACUCUGACCUCAGCCUGCCUCUGGUGGCAGGCCACUUAAAAAAAUAGUUUUCUUUAAUUGAAAAAGUUAUAUAGGCACAUGGUUAAAAUUCAAACGCUAUAAAAAGAUAUACGAUGAAAGAUACAUUUCCCCCCUCCCUGGACCUUGGUCCUUCUCUCCAGAAAUCUUCUCUGCAUAUUCAUGACCAAGGCUCUUGCCAUCAUUCAGCUCCUCUGCAGGACUUGCCUGAAUUCCCUGCUCUUCAGGAAGUCCUGUGAAUUUCAUUUUUUUUCUCACAGUCUUAUUUUUAUUUCUUGGCCGUUUUGGAUUCUGUUUUUGGGUGUUCUGAGUUUCGCUUUUCACAUCAAUAUGCUUCCGGGGGUUCCCCCUUUAAGGCAGGAAGUGUGGUGGGGAGCAGAUCAGUUGAAGCAAACUGAGACAAGGACAGCUCUGUGAGGCUGUUGACGUCAGCUUCAGUCCUUAUCAAGUCUCUUCCUUCCACACGCAGUCCCUGGUGAGGGGACCUCUGGGUGGAGCGGAAUGAGGGAGACUUGCCCAUCUGGAGGGGGUGCUGGCACCACUUAGCAGGGAAAGUUUGCAGAAGAAGUACUCAAGAUGCCCAGGAUCUGGGGGCACCUUUUGCAAAAGGGAAGUUUAACCAUUGCGAAGAAUAAAACCUCUAAAUGCUUACAAGGUUUGCUGUGAGAACUCUUUCUGCCCCAAAUUACGAUAUCUUAUUGUUUAAUAGCUCUCUUAAAAGAAAGAAAGAGAUAUGCACAGUGAGCCUUCUGAAACGUAAUUGGAUCUCAACCUGAUAGUUAUGUUGUCCAAAGGGAAGUAAUAAAAGGGGUAAUAAAUGAUCCCCCAGAGCAAACUAUCCCCAGCUUACAGCAAAACCUCUGUUAUCUGUCCCUAAAAAGUGGGAGAGGAGGUUCCUGUCUUCUUAGACUUUGAAAAAACAGUGAAUUUCAUUAGGGUGAAAUCUAUCAGAUAGCAUCUGAAUGUUGUUUAAUAUUACUUUGGAGUGAAAGUAAAAGAGAGGCGGUGGAAUAACUCAAGGGCAGUUCUCAUGUCCUGAUGUCUGAUGUCCUCUGAAUGUCCUGAAAUUUUUGCCUCAUUGCUUAUUAGUUCCCAUGGAAUCUUAUUUAUUUUCAACAGGUAAAAUGUACAUAUGGUACUACAAUCAAAAUUCCAAAAGUAUAGUGAAGUGACCUUAGAGGAGCAUGAAUGAACUCCUUCAUGUUUUCUACUGUCAGGAGAAGACAGACCUGAAGUGGUGCCUUGAUAUACGCACAUUCUGCCAGACUACAGUAAGAUGUGACAGGCAUAUAUUGUCAGAACAAGGGCUGCACUCAAACUUUGAAAAGAUAUUGGCUCCACUUAUUAAUGAUCAAGACUUAAAAUAUCCUGGAGUUUGGCUGUUGUAAGAGGUUUAUGGGAAACUAUUCUAGGCUUGCCAAACCACCAAGUGACUUCACAGGUACAAAACAUGGAUGCCCCAAGAACAGGAGAAGAACCCCCACUAGGGGGAGCUGGAGAUGGACUUUUAGGACCUUGGUGGUCUCUGUGAUGUGUUAUCCUGUCCUGGCAUUCAAUACCCUGGUGAACCCACAAGUGCUAAAUUUGAAGGCUAUGGGGGUCAGGAUAGCUGACCCCUCAGCUUUUGUUGGUCCCUGGGCUGUUAGUUUCAGCUCAACAUGGUGAUCCAUUCUUCUUGCCCGAUGGCCAAAGAAGGGUGUCUCCUGGGAGCCUCUGGGAAAGCUUUCAUUCCUUUGAACAAAACGGAUACAAGAAGAAGACAGCCCCUCGGAAGCCUAGCUGAGGACAGAGCCCACCCAGUGACAGGGUGGAGCAGAGAGGCCACAGAACCCGGACCACUGCUGACGCUGUUGAUCUGGAGCUUGUAUUGCUCAUGGAGUCCACCCCACCAUGGCAUCUGUUAUGUGAGAUAACUCUGUGGGCUGUUCUGGAGCCAAGGGAGGGACCAAAGGGGAAAAUAGGGGGCACCAGCCCAAAGGGACCCAGACCUUCUCCAAGGACAUUCAGAUUUUGCUUUGAGUCUACAAAAACUAGAACUUUCUACAGAACCUGGAAUGCCACAGAGGAAACAAUCCCACCCGGGGAGUCAGAGAACCUUAGAGCCAAUAUGGCCCUAAGGUUAAUUCCAGUGGCGGAGGAAGCCAUGUCUGAAUGGGAGCCUCAGCUGGCCGCCCGUGUAAGCAGCUUCUCUGAGACCUUGCAGAGGAGUGAAGACCUGGAGGGGGUGCUCAUGCACUCCUUGCUUUUGGAACCAGAGAAUUGGAGCCCAGGGAACAUUCUGGAGGUGCCAGGUCACACCACCCAUUCUUCACAGGGUUCUCCCACAGCCAGAUGCUAUGGGAGAGGCCCAUCUCAGUAUGUGGGUGCUGGGAGGCCGAGAUAGAACUCCCCCGACCAAAGGAGAGACUCAGACUGACUGCACGGUACCCCUCAGCUGGCAGUUCUGUAAUGGUGCGCAAGUUGUUUACUCUCAGUUUUCUCUUUUUAAAAAAAGGAUAUUAAUGUGGAUCUGUUGUAAAAUUUAGAUGAGAUAAUGUAUGUAAAUCACUCGUAAUGUGCUCAGAACAUAGUAAACGCUCCAUUUUCAACGACAACAGUGACAACAACACAGGCACCCAGGGCCACUCCUCGGCUGCCAAGGAGAGCCACUGAGCUCUCCUAACCGUGCAGGGGCCCCUCAAGCCUGAAUGGACGGAUCCGUGAAGCCAACACAUGGCUGUCUUGGUAUGCGCCUGUAACUCCACCCAAAAGCUCUUUUUUGGAGUUUGGGAUGGAGCCUCAUAGCUCGUUGAUGAGCUUAGCUGACCUGUGAGGUUUCGUCUGGGUUUGAGGGUGGCCAAGAAUGACCACUUAGGUCCUACUCCAAGUUCUUUCAUUUGGGUCUACUCCCAAAGCAGCUGGAAGCGGUGCAAAGGAUGGAAAUGAGACAACGGUACAUCCACUGGGUGGCUGCUGCUCCCUGUGGCCUCUUCUGUCAAUUCACGGAGAAGCACUCCCCAGAGUCUGGUGACGUUGGCAGCCAGUGAGGAGCAAGAUGUCUGCCUGACCGGAGGAGCACUGAGCUGCAGGUUCGCUGCCUCUCUACCUCGGCCACAUCACACCCAGGUCUAAAGGCCAAGCCUUGAAAUUCUUCCUGUGUCAGCCUUGGAGCCGUCAGCCCUUGUCUGUACCUGUGCUGCACGCAGGAGGUUGUUAGUCCAUCAGGAGCCUUAUGAAUUGUUAGAAGAUCCCCCUUCCUCUGGGCAGAUGCAGACCUGGGUCAGGGCACAGCGCGCCACGCUAAGCCUGUGCAGGGCUGAAGCUGCACGACCACCUGUGCAGCCGUGGCUGCAGCCCUGGGAGUCCCCAUCUCUGUGCGGGGCCCGCUGCAGUGACCUCUGCCUUGGGGUGGGCAAAGGAAGUGGGCUUCCCUCGGUGUGAAGCCGGACAUAUGGGCACACUCUAGGGAUCUUCCUACUUAGCCACCGUUGCUGUUUGCUGUCAGAGCAGACCCAAAUCUGAUACCAGGAGCUGCAUGAAGGAGACAGAUCACUGAUCUGGAACAUGGGACUGCCUGCUGAACAUCAAAUUAGCAGACUCCUGACCAAAGGCAGGAGAGACGGGGGACGUGACUGUGUACAAGGACAGACAGAGAUCGGGAGAGGGCCAGUCAAAUGUGAAGCAUCUGCUCUCUUCUCUGUCUAGCAUCUCUUCAGGGAACUACCUUCCUUCGAUUCUCAGUCCAUGAAGUUCAGAUGAAGCCCACCUCACCCCCAGCACCAAGGGUGGAUCUGUGAUAUGUACAUCAUAUCUAUGUGCGCAUAUCCUUUGGCCACCAGCAUUGGUUUAGGGUUAGGCACAUUACCCAAGCCAGGCUACUCAGCCUUGUCUGAGAUAUUUCCUGGAACUAGCAAAAAAGAUGACCCCACCCCACAUGGCCGCUGAUGGAAUCAUUAGCUGGGAAAAUGAUGUAAGUUUAGAGCAGCCAAUGGCUAUCCUUGCUAUUACAUGAGGAAGGAGAGUCAGCCUGAGCAUGAAGUCAAUCCUGAGAAAGCAGAGAAUAAAGGUAAAGAGUAAGAGGACUCUAAUGAUAUAUUUUGGACUCCUGGAUCCUGCUGUACCUGAAGUCAUUUAUUCCUAGACUUCUCCCUUCUUUCACUUUCUUUUCUUUCCCUCUGUUUACUCUCUCUCUCCCUUUCUUCUUUUGGUUGAAAUUUGUUUGAAUGUUUUUGUUACUUGCAACUGAAAGAACCUGACCAGUAAACAAUGUAUGCACUGAACUAACUUAUUGUGAUAGGGAAGUUGGUAAAGGGCCAUCUGUGUUCACUUAAACCCAGGCCUGGCAGGGAGGAAGCAGAGAGAAACUCCCAAGAAAAACUUAGGAAAUGAAGCUUUUGACUCUCCAAGUAACAGAGAAAGAGAGUGGAGUGGAGACUCGCAGUGAGAGGUGAGGACACAUUGGAUUGGGAGGGAUGGACCACCCAUCCUUCUAGGCUUUGUCCUGUGAGAUGCCCUUGAACUAGGCCAUUUCCCAGGGAGGACUUGGAGAUACAUGGGAGACCAGGAGAACUUGGGAGAGGAGAUGACCCAAAGACUAGAGAGGCAAGAGGCUAGUCCAGCGUGGGGUCUGUCUCCAAGCCCCUCAGGGCGUGCUGCACCUCGACCCCUGUUAGUGCUGGGGGGCCGGGAGAGCCCCAUUUCUCCACUUCCUUACAACCUCAGGCUCAGGCACGUUGAUGUUCUGUGGCCCACCACAUCCCUCACGUUUGCUUUGGAGAGACUGCACCAAAUUCUCAGUGGGGUCUCCCCUGUUACAUAUAAAUAGUGCUGCUGUAAACCCUCUCUCUGCAUAUCUCUGGCCAUUUUCCUAUGGUAAACUUCUAGAAGUGGAACUUGCUAGGUCAAAGGUUAUGAACAUUAUUAAAGUUUUUGAUUCUUAUUCCAGGAGGAAAUAUUACCCAUUACUAGAAGAGACAGAAAAAGUUCCUGCCCUUGUCAACUAGGAGAGGGCUGAUGGCCCAUAACUAAUGUAAGAGGUGACCUGUUUUUCAGAAAAACAGAGCCACGUCACAAUGUCUGUAAUAAAUUAAAUUAAGACCGUAAAAUGUGGUGUGGGUGCAGCAGAUCACAUGGCAUUAAACAAAUUGGACUGCCUGGUUCCCUGGAGAUACACGGGACAGAAAGCAGCAGAGGGACGUAAUGGGGUUAGCGUGGUGCUUUCCUGGAAGUUGGAAGUGUGGCAGUCGCAGCUGCUGUGGUUGCGUUUACCGAGGGCGACUUCUGUGUAAGUGGGGUUAGGGCCAGAGGAAGGCAAAGAACUAGCAUUUCUCUCUCAGGGAGCUCUGUUCGAUGAGAGGAAUCACCAGCUACAAAUAUAAUUAUCCCAGAAGAGAGAUUUUGUCCUGGUGUAAGUAAGAACAUUCUAACAUUCUAUCAACAGUUGGAAAGGUUCAUGCAUAUGACAGCACUUGGAAGCCAUAAAGCAUUACUGGGGAGGGGUACAGUGCCAGGUACUAAGGAGUCAGAGAGGAAGACGUGGUCCCCAUCUGUAAGGAGCUCCUGGUCUAGUGAACGAUUCCUCUAGGAUGUGAUGAGAGCUGUAACAGAGGAACAUAUAUAGGAGUCCAGUGAUGGCACAAGGUGGGGAGUGAUUAACUUACUUGCUGGAUGAAGAGGUGACAUGACCUGGUUUGUGAAGAACGAGUAGAAGUUUACCAGGUGGGUAGUGAGAGAGAUGCAAGUAGAGUGAGGGGCCUACGUGUGACCUGGGUGGACCCACGAUUUGGAAUGCAAAUAACACGGCCCAGCUAGUCCCCAGAAUAUAGUGCUGCAGGCUCUAUGCAGCGAUAUCAGAUCCAGAAGUCCAGUCUGGGGCCAUCGGAGGCUCCACUCUCCCCAGGUUCCCUCGGACUACUGGUGUUGAGAACAGACCACGUUGGUCGUGGCUAGGUGGGCUCCUUGCAGCAGGGGCUGCCGUUAAUGAGGAGGAGUCAGCCCGGGCCAGAUAGUCCUCAGGGCAGAAGCUGGGCAAAUUUGGAGGCGUGUCAAAAGACGAGGGGACUGGAGCCAAGUCUUGCCCUGAGAGUGUGUCUGAAGCACGGGAUCCCUGUGCUACUAGCUAGACUGGUCAGAAUUCCCUGUUUAAAACUCUUUCGGUUUUUCCGCGCGGCGACUUCCACCGGGCGCUCGGCUGCCGGCCCUAGUGGUGCACAGUGCACGGAUGCCGCCCGUGGACGCCUGUGUUAGUUUCCUGGAGCUGCUGUGACAAAGUACCACAAACUGGGUAGCUUAAAACAGAAAUUUAUUGUCUCACGGUUGUGGAGAAAUCCGCAGGGCCAUGCUCCCUCUAGAAUCUGUAGGGGACCGCUCCUUGCCUCUUCCUAGCUUCUGGUGACUUGCCCGCAAUCUUUGUCAUUCCUUGGACUGUCAACGCAUCACUCUGACCCUCUCCCCUCACAUGGCGUUCUCCCUGUGUCUCUCUGGGCCUUCACACAGCCGUCUCUUUAUAAGGACACCAGUCAUAUUGGACUAAGGGGCGGCUCUACUCCAGGAUGACCUCCUCUUAAUUAAUUACCCCUGCAAUGACCCUAUUUCCAAAUAAGGCCACAUUCUGAGGUACUGGCGGUGAGGACUUCACCGUGUCUUUUGGGGGACACCGUUCAAACCAUAACAGCAUCUCUUAGAAAUGUGGUGGCAGAGCUUUCAGAUAGCAAGGACCUGAGCUCCCAGCGCUCUGAAGUGCCACUCAGGGGUGACAGCUAGGGGACGUGGUGUUUACAUCUUUCUGCUGGGGAGACCCAAGGCUGCCCAGGAUGGCGGCUGCAGGAAGAUGUGGGCUGCAGGGAGCCGGGCUCUGCCUCGCUGCAGCGAUGUUGCUCUAGAGGGAGCAGGUAGAGUUGCGUUCCUGUCAAGGGAGCCAUUUGGGGCCCUUUCCCAGUCGUUCUUCAAGGAGAGUGGCUCCCAGUGUAGUGCUCCCUCUGGAACAUUCUCCUUCCUGGACAGGUAAGGAGUGAGGAAGGGAAUAACUAGUUACCCAGUUUGGGGUUUUUUCCCAGAGUUUUCCUGGAUAUUUUUGCUUGCCCAUUAAAAAAAUAAACAUUUUGUGAUCUGAAAUUUAUAGAUGAGCAAAAGGAGAAUUAACAGCAUAAAUAAAAUCGAGUUUUGCCUAGCAGACACAGGGGGUGCCUUUCGAUUUACUCAAGACUUCUUUUGUGCCACUCAGUGGGAGCUGCUCUUUUCAUAUAGUUCUUGCAUGUUGCUUGUUUGCACAAUCUUCUGUCUCUUCGCUUAUUGUCCUAACAGGCAUCCUUUCUCUCAUUCUAUUAUCGAGUCAGUUGUGCUUUGAGUUAUAGGAAAGCUAUUGAUUUUUGCAUAAUAAUCUCGUGCCCAGCCACUUUUCUGAAUUGUCUUAUUGUUUGCAGUAGUUUUCAGUUGAUUCUCUUAUAGUGAUAUAAUGUAGGGACAUAAUGACUACAAUGAUAUAAUGUCUCUUCCUUUCUGAUUUACAUAUAUAUAUAUAUAUAUAUAUAUUUUGUUGUUGUUGUUGUUAUCAAGUUCUGUUGGCUAAUACCCUCUCUACCCAUUAAGUAACAGUGAUGAUUAUGGUCACCCUUAAUUUGUUUCUGACUUUACUGGGAAUACUUCUGUUGUUUUCCUGCUAAGAAUGGUGCUAGGUUCGAUUGUUCCAAUUAGAGUUGCCCGUGAAUGCAAUUGGGCUUGAAUUUAUUCAUUUUUUUAGUGGAGGGUAUUUCUUUCAAACUUUCUUGUUUCUUCUCCCCUCCUCCUUCAUUUGGAUUUUCUAUCUUUUUAACUAUCUUUUUUUUUUUUGAGGAAGAUUAGCCCCGAGCUAAAAUCUGCCACCAAUCCUCCUCUUUUUGCUGAGGAAGACUGGCCCUAAGCUAACAUCCAUGCCCAUCUUCCUCUACUUUAUAUGUGGGACGCCUACCACAGCAUGGCAUGCCAAGCGGUGCCAUGUCUGCACCCAGGCUCCAGACCAGCGAGGAACCUCCAUACUGUUUUCCACAGUAGCUGCACCAAUUUGCAUUCCUACCGCCAGCUCCUUUGUUUCACAUCCUCACCGACACUUGUUAUCCUUGUCUUUUUGAUAAAAACCAUUCGAACAGGUGUGAGGUGACAUCUCAUUGUGGAUUUGAUUUGCAUCUCCCCCGAGGAUUCGUGACAUUGAGAACUUUUUCAUGUACCUGUUGGCCAUUUGUGUGUCUUCUUUGGAAAAAUGUCCAUUCACAUCCUUUGCCCAUUUUUUAAUUGGUUAUUUGGUUGUUUUUUUUUUUUUUUUUGCUAUUGAGUUGUAUGAGUUUCUUAUACAUUUCGGAUAUUAACCCCUUACAAAUAUAUGGCUUGCAAAUAUUUUCUCCCGUUCUGUAGGUUGCCUUUCCAUUUUGUUGAUUGCUUCUUUUGCUUUGUAGAGGCUUGUUAGUUUGAUGUAGUCCCACUUGUUUAUUUUUGCUUGUGUAACUUGUGUUUUUGGUGUCACAACCAAAAAAAUCUUUGUCAAGACUGAUGUCAAGGAGCUUUUCGCCUAUGUUUUCUUCUAGGAGUUUUACUGUUUCAGGUCUUAUACUUAAGUCUUUAAUCCAUUUCAAGUUAAUUUUUGUGAGUGUUGUACCAAAGAGGUCCAAUUUCAUUCUUUUGCGUGUAACUAUCCAGUUUUUCCAGCCACAAUUAUUGAAGAGACUAUUCUUUCCCCAUUGAGUAUUUUUGGCUUUAUUGUCAAAUAUUAGUUCCAUGGCUUCAUUUCUGGGCUCUCAUUUCUGUUACAUUCGUCUAUGUGUCUGUUUUUAUGCCAGUACCAUACUAUUUUGAUUACUAUAACUUUGUAUUAUAGUUUGAAAAGUUCUUGAAUAUGUUUAUAAGUUUCAUUGUUUUUCUGUUUUCUUAUUUAAUAAUUUCUACUUCCAUCUUUAGGAAGUUUUUAGUUUUUUUGUGGUUCUUUUUCUAACUUCUUGAGUGGGAUGCUUAGUUCACUUAUUUUAAUUUCAUAUUUAUGUGUAUAGUUAUUUAAAGCUAUAAAAUAUUUUUGGUUCUAGUCUUCUGCAGUUUGUUUUAAUUUCCUUUUCUUAUGAAUGAGUUACUUAAGAGUUUAAAAAUUCCAUUUAGUAGAGUUUAAAAAAAAUUUAUUACUGAUUUCAAGUUUUAUUACAUUAUGAUAAUAGAAUGUCUUUUAAUCUAUAGAAUUUACUGAGUUUUCCUUUGGUUUAAUAGUCAAUUUUGGUGAAUAUUCCAUAAGCCCUUAAGACAUAUAUUCUUUGUUUUCAAAAUAUAGAGUUUAAUAUAUGUCAAUUAGAUCAGUCAUAUCAAUUAUGUUACUCAAGUGUCUAUCUUAUUUUUCGUCUUGCUCUGUUACAGGUGGAGAGAGGUAAAAUAAGCUCUUCUCAUAAUAAUGUGUGUCAAUUCUUCCUUGUAUUUCCAGUAAACUUUGUUCUGUGUGUUUGUUAUUAUGUUAUUUGGUGCGUAGGUAUUUGUUAGAUCGUCAUUGUAGACCUUUCUUGUUAUAAAGUGCCUGUAAUUUUUGCCAGAAGGUAAAAUCAUGACUUUCUUUCUUUUCUUUCCUUUAGUGGGCAUACCUCUGCCCAUCCUUUAUCUUUCAAACUUUCUGAGUCGCUUUGCUUUAGGCAUGACUCUUAUACUUUGGGGACAGUCUCUGCUUUUGGUAUUUGGCCAGCUUGGGGCAGGAGAAGACGUGAAAUAGGGCCCCCUGGCCUGGGAAUUUGCCUAUUUAAUAGAGGUCUUUGUUUGAUUAUUUGUGUUUUUGAAAAUGUCUUUAUUUCACUUUCAUCCCCCACCUUUUUUGACCCUCUAUUUCCCAACUUUUAAUGAUGAAAAAUUUCAAACAGAGAGAGAAGAUGAAAAACGAGAACAAUGAACAUCAGUAAAGCCCCACUAGAUUUCACAAUUGUCGACAUCUUGCCAUAUUUACUUUAUUUCUAUCUCCAUCUGGGCCUAUCUAUCUAUUUCUAUAUCUGUAUUGCUAUAUCAUUUGCAAGUAAGUUGUAGACAUCAUGAUACUCUACCCCUAGACACUGCGGCGUGCAUCUCCUAAAGCGAAGAAUCGUUUCCUACAUAACCGCAAGCCAUCACAUACAAAAACGACCCAGGGUGGAAUCUUUUUAAAUUCUGUGUUUCUUCGCUGGAAGUUCUCCUGGUGAUCUACAGUCACAGGGAUGCCAGCGGCUUGCUGGCGACAGUAACCCCAUCCUGAUCAUGCCCUCGCAGGAAGACGAGGGAGGGGAUCAGAACUGGCCGCAGGUGUUUGAAGGGCUGUCACUGGAAGAAUGAGCGGCGUUUCCCUCUGGCACUGCAGAGGAGGCACUUGGAAUAAAGAGAAGUUUCAAGGAGGCAAAUUGAUUCUGGACUGGGCCUCAAUGAUGAAUUCCUUGUCACUGGAGAUAUCUAGGGGAAAUGGGAUGGCCCCUUCUCAGGGUUGCUAUGGAGGGGAAUCAUCUUGGAUAGACUUUCUUAGGGGAAAGGGACAAGAAGUUCUGGAGAGACUCAAACUGAUACCCAGGUUAUAAUCAGACUGUAAUGACUCGUUCAUUUUGCCUACCCCAAAUAAAACUGAUUCUUUUUGUAUCUGUUUUUUGUUUUUGAGGAAGAUUAGCCCUGAGCUAACUGCUGCCAAUCCUCCUCUUUCUGCUGAGGAAGCCUGGCCCUGAGCUAACAUCCGUGCCCAUCUUCCUCUAUUUUAUACCUGGGACGCCUACCACAGCAUUGGCUUGCCAAGCGGUGCCAUGUCCGCACCCGGGAUCCAAACCGGGGUACCCCAGGCCCCCCAAGAAAUGGAACGUGUGAACUUAACCACUGCGCCACUGGGCCGGCCCCUGUAUUUUAAAAAUUUGAGCUCAUAAUAGUUUCUGUAUCUGUUUUAAGGCUGGAUUUUUUUUCCGUGCUAUUCAUUGGCUGCCCAUCUCGUAAACCCUGGUCGUUUUUGGUCAAUCUAGCAGAUACUCUUUCUUUUUUUUUUUUAAAGAUUUUAUUUUUUCCUUUUUCUCCCCAAAGCCCCCCGGUACAUAGUUGUGUAUUCUUCAUUGUGGGUUCUUCUAGUUGUGGCAUGUGGGACGCUGCCUCAGCGUGGUCUGAUGAGCAGUGCCAUGUCCGCGCCCAGGAUUCGAACUAACGAAACACUGGGCCGCCUGCAGCAGAGCGCGCGAACUUAACCACUCGGCCACGGGGCCAGCCCCCAGAUACUCUUUCUUAUAUUUUAUAAGAAAGGACCAGAGAAACUCUGCCUUCCUUAAGGAGGAGGCUGGCCUUUUCAAUUUGGCAGAAGAUUAGAGGCAGAAAAAGAUAAAUCAGUGAAAUAAAUUCAAAUUCUAUGUCUAUUCCCUUUUGCCCCAGCCCAAAUGUCUGAAUGGGUCUCUUUUCUUUUUUAUUAACUGGAAAAUAAAAGGCCUCAAGGGGUGUUUCAUCGGGACUAAGAGUAGC